rnacentral:rRNA from 1 species
UACGUAGGGGCCGAGCGUUGUCCGGAAUUAUUGGGCGUAAAGAGCUCGUAGGCGGUUUGUCGCGUCUGCUGUGAAAACUCGGGGCUUAACUCCGGGCCUGCAGUGGGUACGGGCAGACUAGAGUGCGGUAGGGGAGACUGGAAUUCCUGGUGUAGCGGUGAAAUGCGCAGAUAUCAGGAGGAACACCGGUGGCGAAGGCGGUUCUCUGGGAAUAUCCUGACGCUGAGGAGCGAAAGUGUGGGGAGCGAACAGG